rnacentral:lncRNA from 1 species
GGACCCGCCUCUCUCGUGAAUAAAUAAAUAAAUAAAUAAAUAAUCUUUAGAAAAGGCUUAAAUGUGUAAAAUGACCCCUCAGGACCCGCCUAGCAGGGGCGGGAGCCUAGCAGGUGCCUGCCACCAGUUCUGUGCUCUUCUCAUCCUACUAAUGUAUUAUUUACCUGCCUGAUAUUGGAGUUGGUGACUGAGAAGAAAAUGGAACUGAAUGUUAAUAUUAGCUAACAUCUAUUGAAUACUCAUCGAGGGCAAUAAGCUGUGACAAAACCUUAUGUACACUGUCUCAUUUAAUUUCAACAAAAAACCCCGAAAGUUAUUUAUCCAUGAGAGACUCACAGAGGCAGAGACCUAAUGAGAGGAAGAAGCAGGAUCCCUGCAGGAAGCCUGAUGUAGGACUGGAUCCCAGGACCCCAGGAUCAUGCCCUGUGCUAAAGGCAGAAGCUCAACCACCGAGCCACCCAGAUAGCUUGUUGUUAGUGUAUAGAAACACUACUGGCAAAGGAAACAAGAGCAAAAAUGAACUAUUGGGGCUUCAUCAAGAUAAUAAGAUUUUACACAGCAAAAGAAACAGUCAGCAAAACUAAAAGGACUUCAAGUACUAUGUGGAAUAGAAGUUAUGAAAGUGUGCAUCCUUGCCUUGCACCAGAUCUGAGAAGAAAAGCUUUUUAGUUUUUCCCAACUGAUUAUAUUAGUUGUGCGCUUUUCAUGUAUGGCCUUUAUCAUGUUGAGUUCACCGCCUAACUCCAAACCUGACUUCUAGAAGACCACCAGUGUAUUGAUGGUUGAUCUGACUGAAAUAGAAUCAAAGAUUGAAUUCCUGCCUCAGUGCCUGACACACAGCAGGCAAUCAAUAAGCAUUUGUUGAAUGGAUGGAUACUACCUUCAGCUAUCUGGAACUUGCUGGCAAAUGGAAGUCAGUGAAUUAAAAAAUAUAUUUUCCUUUUGAUCUUUGAGCAAUUCCUUCUUUUAGAAGGGUCACUCUGGAUGCUAUUUUGAGAAUGGACUAUAGAAAGACAAAGAAGCAAAGAGUCAUUUUGGAGAUUACUGCAGUAAUCCAGGUUCCACCUGUAGGACAUCCCAGGACAUAUCUAGCAGGACUGAAGAGCGCUGGCUGGACUGCUGGAUUAAAAACCGAGGGGACUGAGACAGGACCGGAAUCGCUGUCCCUGGUGCAUCACAGAAACGGCAGGAGAUCGCACAGCUGCACCGCCCUGGGUGGCAGCUGGGCCGGGAACGCGGGGCGUAGGAUCAAGCUCUCCCCGGCCCAUCGGCAUCUCGGCAUCUCGGGUCGGGCCGGGUCACUGUUGUCACAGAAGUGAACAGGAUGCUCCGAGGCGUGUCACAGCAGACGACCAACCGGCUCCACGCUGGCGUCUAAGUCCGUCCUCGCGGCAGGGCUGGGACGCAGGUUUUACCGGCCCCACUGUGCGAAGCCGCGGGUCAAGCAUCCUGCGCUCGGUACGCCGCAGAGCCGGAGCCGGGGUCCGCGCCCCUCCGCGCCCCUCCGCGCCCACCCAUCGGCCAGCCCUCGCCCGCGGAGGAUUUCGGAGCACGGAGGACGCGCUUUCCGCCAGCCCGAGCCUUUCGGUCCGCGAGUGAAGCAGCAUGGAUGCCGUCAGCCAGGUCCCCAUGGAAGCCGCACUCCCCAAGCACAUCCUGGAUAUCUGGGUCAUUGUCCUCAUCAUCCUGGCCACCAUUGUCAUCAUGACCUCCUUGUUGCUGUGCCCAGCCACCGCGGUCAUUAUCUAUCGCAUGCGGACUCAUCCUGUCCUCAACGGGGCUGUCUGAAAUCAGUGUCCCAAGAGGGGCCGGGGAGAAACAUGGAUAGUAUCUCCUCCCCCAGCCUCUUCCUUCUCAGAAAAGCAGCAGGAGGGGCUUUGGAGUGUGGACUCUGGAGCUUGAUGUGUGAGAGGAGACCGGAGUUCUUGUUUGGAUUUUGCCACCGGCCAGCUGUGUGAGCUGGGUCAAGGGACCUAACUCUGUGGGUUCCAGGUUCCUUAUCUUCUAAAUGGGGAUCAUGGUCCUGCCCUUCCUACCUCAGAGGGUUGUAAGAACCAAUGCCUUGGGUGGAGGUUAAAGCUGUUUGUGGCUAUGAAUGGUAAAGCCACCACAGGGUUAUAAUUGCUGACAAUGGCCUUCAGGGUGGUGAUGAAGACACUGGGGGCAGAGCAGCCUUUGCCAGUGCCCCUCAGGUCGAACCAAGCAAAGACACCCUGUCUGCAUUCCAAGGGGCCAGUAGUGCUUUGGCUCAAAGUCAUUUUCUUUGUGGUGCCACUCCCUCAAGUUACCUAAUUUGGAGGGAACUGAGUGUGGCAGGAGGAGGGAGAUGGGUGGAACUUCCUAGGACCUUCCUGUGCCAGAAUGUCUACCCCUGUAACAGUCUAGAGGACGGCACUGCCAUGUCUUGGCAAGGCCGAAGGACCUGGGGUGAUGGGCUUCUUUCUGCAUUGGAGUCUCCUCACUUUGACACUCAAGCUAUGUGUCACAACACAGGGUGGCUGAGUUCCCCGGAUGGCUUUCAGGAUCUCCAGCCCCCACCAACUUGUGUGUCUCACACUCAAGAAGCUGUGUCCCCUCACCCCAGCACCUGCUCUAACCAGCUACGUGGUGUCAAGUGUACGCCCUUCAUCCCCUCCCACCAGCACUGCAGCCAGUCUAAGCUACAGAUUUUAAGAGAUGUUCCCAGGACUUUUGGAACUCACUCAAGACAGCGAUGGUUAUUUUAGAUGCUAUGAUCUAUAUUUAUAGAGAGAUUCCUGGACCACUCAAGCUCUUUGACCAAAAUCAGGAACAUCUUGGGAUUUAUUAAAUUAUGUAAGAAGAUAUAGCACAGAUAUCAGAAUAUUGUGUGGAAGUGAUGCUGUUACUUUGGUCUGAUUUCAUUGAUGUAUGCGACCAGUUUCCAAUAAAGUGCUAGAAUGA